rnacentral:rRNA from 1 species
AACGAACGCUGGCGGCAGGCCUAACACAUGCAAGUCGAGCGCGCCCUUCGGGGUGAGCGGCGGACGGGUUAGUAACGCGUGGGAACGUGCCCUUUGGUACGGAAUAGCCUCUGGAAACGGAGAGUAAUACCGUAUGAGCCCUUCGGGGGAAAGAUUUAUCGCCAAAGGAUCGGCCCGCGUUAGAUUAGGUAGUUGGUGGGGUAAUGGCCUACCAAGCCUACGAUCUAUAGCUGGUUUGAGAGGAUGAUCAGCCACACUGGGACUGAGACACGGCCCAGACUCCUACGGGAGGCAGCAGUGAGGAAUCUUGGACAAUGGGGGAAACCCUGAUCCAGCCAUGCCGCGUGAACGAUGAAGGCCUUAGGGUUGUAAAGUUCUUUCGCCUGGGAAGAUAAUGACGGUACCAGGUAAAGAAGCCCCGGCUAACUCCGUGCCAGCCGCCGCGGUAA